UCCAUUUUAUGACCCGAGUAUUUAAAUGUUCUAAAACCCUAAAUCUAGAUCUGCAUCUCAUUCACCGCCGCUUCUCUUCUCUUUGUGACCAACACUCUUCAGUCAUUUCUUCGUAUCUCUCCCUUGAAAUUAAUCUACAUCAGUUAGGAUCACAUCUCCACUUCUUCUAGCAAAUGGAUAUCCAUAUUCGCAUAACGCUUCUUUUCUAAAACCCUAAAUUUUUCCUUCUGGUUUACUCAUCUCCAAUCCUGGAUACAAACCCUAAUAUCUACUAAGCCGUUUCAUCAGACCAUAUUGCUUCUUCAACAAUUGAUAUUCAUUUCAAUUCUUAAUCUAUUGUUUUCUUCGUUAAAUCGAUGGGUAAGUCCACCAAAAUGAAAUGCGAAGCCCUAGGUAUCAGCCACUGUGUUCCUCAUUCUUCUUCCUUAUGAUUCAACUCAAACCCUAGCUAUUAGCCACCGUGAUCCUCAUUCUUCUUCGUUGUUCUAUGAUUCAAAGUCUACAAUUGAUCGGACUGAAGUUUCAGGUACUGCUAUAUCUUUUGAGUUCUUUGGAGGUUGUUUCACUUUCAGGGAAGGACAAGAAGCUUUUUGUUGAGUAAUACAUGGCUCUUAAUGAUGAUGGGUGCAGUGGCAACUGCUGCUGAUUUCAUCAGGUAUCUUACUUAAAUAUAAAUCAGUUAAAUAAAAAAUGUGUGACAUUCUUAGCCGCUGAUACAAGUAGUGGAUGUAGAUAAGUUUGUUUUCCUGACCUUACUGAUGAUAAUAAUGUGAUGUUCGAUUGAAAUGUGGCUUAUAAUAAUAGCUCUGUCAUAUUCAGUUUCUUCAUUUUGAUAACGGGUUUGAUGAAGUCGAUUACAGGUAUGCAUGAAGACAUUUUUCUCGAGAUUAACUUCCUCAGAUUUGCAGUUUUUAUGUACAUCAUGCUUGAUGCUUGCAUACUUUUCUUAUUUAUGACACCGCACUCAUUAGAAAAUGUUAUGCAUGUAGGACCAAUAUUCAUAUCUCAGUUUGGUAUAAGUUACAUGGACUCACCACUUUAUGAAACCUUAGUUCUGUAGAUAAUUUAUAUCCAUUUAUCUUUCCAUUAUAUGAUUGAUAAUAGAGUGAAAAAAGGUCAAAUCUAUUUCUAAUAAAGGACUCAAAAGAUGCAUCAUCCGCCCCAGAUGCGUUUGAGUUGUUCAAUGAUCUAAAAGGAAAAGGUGCAUAUCAUACUAAAGCAUUAAAACAUUUUCUAUUUCAUAUCUUUUUUUAUCUUACAAUUAUUCUUUUCCCAUUUUAUUGUUAUUUCAGUGGGAUGUAUUUGAGAACAAGUCCACCGUCAUAGUCUAUUGUGGAGAGCAAUUGUUGCAAUUUGGCUAUCUUCAGUUCUUAUUGGUGAUAUCAGUUUUGUACCCUUUUGCGAAUGGCUGAUAUAUGCAACAUGGAGGUUGGUAGCUUAUUUUUCAU